UUGCUUCUUUGGCAGCUCAUGUAUUAAAAAUUGGAACAAAAUACAGAAGAUUAGCAUGGUCCCUAGACAAGAAUGAUACACAAAUUCACAAAACAUUCCUUUUACUG